CAGCAGCCGCGGUAAUACGAGGGGGGCAAGCGUUGUUCGGAAUUAUUGGGCGUAAAGGGAGUGUAGGCGGUUUUGUAAGUCGUGUGUGAAAUCUUCGGGCUCAACCCGAAGUCUGCACACGAAACUGCAGGGCUUGAGUAUGGGAGAGGUGAGUGGAAUUCCUGGUGUAGCGGUGAAAUGCGUAGAUAUCAGGAGGAACACCUGUGGCGAAAGCGGCUCACUGGACCGACACUGACGCUGAGGCGCGAAAGCGUGGGGAGCAAACAGGAUUAGAUACCCCCGUAGUCCCUGUCUCUUAUAC
rnacentral:rRNA from 1 species